AUGUGGAAAUGUUUUGCAGAUGCAGUUUAUUUGUUGCCAUUAUUUUAUAUUUUAAUCAUUUGCAGUUUUCUGUGAGGGUGAAUUAUAAGGAAUGAACUCAGGUCUUCAGUAAGAAGCUUUAGCAACUGAGCUAUCCCUGUCUUUCCCAUUUCUUGACAGGGUAAUCUGGAAAGGGAAUUGUUUCACAUUUCUCAUCUCUGCCAGAGGAUGGUGUGUGACCCUGGGAGGGGGUGUGCUACACACGUAUAUGACAGAUCACAGCAUCACAGUAGAUAUCCCUCCAACGUUACUCAAAAGUUCUGGAUUGCUGUUGUGUGUCAAGAUUUUACUGGGGAGAGGAUACACAUAUCUACUCACAGCUACUUUCCUCUGAUACGGAGCCCAGGAUGGACUAAAGUACAACUUGAUGAAACAGUGAGUUGUACUGAGGUCACUCACAGGAAUGUAGGCGAGUAGUUACUUACCACAGCAGAAACACAUCACAGAGAGCUGCAUCGCCAAAAUGUGUCCCCAAAUGGAUACCAGCUCAUAACGGUUGGAAUGUGGAGCACGCUGCAGAGCCAGCAGUUCAACAGACUGCAGAGUGUCCUCUCCAAGUGGCUCUGAUCUAAACCUCUUCCAGGCAGCUCAGCUGUUUUCUGCUUUUUCCAGGCAGGAAGCUGUUCUGGGUUCAGAGUUUUCUGUGUAGUUUGUGCUUAUCUGAGAAUUUUCUUUCCAAGUUGACUUGUCUGAGAGCUCUCUUCAGCAUUCUAUUGUUUAAUCUUAGGAGGGAGGG
rnacentral:lncRNA from 1 species